GAAGUGGUGGUCAAAAACAGCAACGCGCGAACAUGGCAGCUGUAGGCGAAAACCAGGUUUCUCCCGUAUUUUCCAAUUAUUUUCGCUCUUUAAGUCUUAAUAUUCGAUGGCAUUACUUGCAAAAGAUGUGUUAUUGUAACGGAGUUGACCCCUGCAUUCUAAAAAAGUAGAUUUUUCAACAGAUUUUCAACUUUUAUCCUUCACUCGUCUUUGGCUUGCAGUCCUCUUUUUAUUCUUCAAACGAGAUGAAAGCUUACAAAAACAUGCAGUCCUACAACGUUUCGUUUGUGGAUGAUUGAAAGACCUCGGUAUUAAACGGAUGAAAAAUGAUUGUCUUCUGAACAGCAGGGGGAAAAUGGCAGAUUCACACUUAAAUAAAUUGCAAGGACCAGCAUUAUUACUCAAGAAAAAAGCUUUAUUAAGGCUAUUUAGUAUCCUGAAGCCCAUCGCUUCUGUACAUUGGGUACAAGGUUAUUUUAAAUUCCUAGAUUUAAUUGUAUUACAUAAGUAUCUUACUCAAUGAGCUUAUUUUGUCGAUACAUUUGCUAUGUCGAUUUAAAAUUUCUUAUAACAUGUACACUUGAGUAUUUUUAUCAAUCAUAGUCAUCUCUGCCUUUCAAUUGAGGCACUGUAAUUACUGUAAGUAAAGUCCAUUUUCUCAGAAUACAUGCAAAUUUCACCUUCUGUCAUCAAAAUAAACCAAGAUGUGAUUAUUACAAUAUUCAUAAUCAAUCACACAUAUUUGUUAUAGUCAUGAAUAUUGGGGUAUUCUUUUGUCUUUAUUUACAGGGUGAAAUUAUAUUGCUUCCAAAAUUAUUGAAGGGGGAGGGGGUUACAUGUCCCACCGCCCCCUGCUAUGGUGCUGUACAAUUCCUCUUUCUGGUAAAUUUGACAGUAUUGCAGAAUUCUAGUGAAAGGGUUACCUUCUAUAUUUUUACAUUGUUGUCUUUUUGAUGUGGAAAUGGUUGUAAGCAUGAUAUACAGUACCUAGGAUUAGCUGAGGGGGGAUGUGCAGUCAUAGGUAUAGGUAUAUUGAGAAAGGAUAGUUAACAAUAAGAAAUCACCAAUUUUUUUUGGCCAAAGGGGGUGAGCAUGCAUUCUGUGCACCCUUCUGUGUACUCGCCUGAUACACAUGCAUGAGAAAGCUCAUGAGUGAAGCAUAUGAGAAUUUCUCAGUUUGCAGCACUGGUCAACACCUCACUGCCAAGUGGCACAUCUUGGAGCCUCUUCUGAUGGAAUUAUUAUGAUGAUGGUGACAUAAAACUCAGUAGGGAUCAUGUCUAUUUCUACCAAAAUCCAAGCUCAGCUACUUAUUGUAGAGAUGAGUUUUGCAAUGUUGUUGGAACAAAACAAUAUUUUCAUAAUGUUAUAAUGCAAUAUUCUGUAAGAAAAGUAUUGUUCCUUAGACUAAUAUUUUUUAUUAGAGACUGCAUAUUACAGUAUAUUUUUAACACCAAAUAUCAAUGCACUUAAAUUAACAUCAAAUGUGAUUAGUGUUAUUCCAGAACACCUAUUCAAUUUGUCCAUUAUCAACAAAGCAUUAAAGCAUUCAAGAGCUGUAUUCUAGCCAUGAUGUACAUAGAGAUUAGAAAUUAGAUAAAGUAAAUAAGCAUAAAAAAAACAUAUGAAUUA